GAGUAACACGUGAGCAACCUGGCCUUGACACUGGAAUAACAGUUGGAAACAGCUGCUAAUGCCGGAUACGACCUUCGGUGGCAUCACCUGGAGGUGGAAAGUGCUUAGCGGUCAAGGAUGGGCUCGCGGCCUAUCAGCUAGUUGGUGAGGUAACGGCUCACCAAGGCUUCGACGGGUAGCCGGCCUGAGAGGGCGACCGGGCACACUGGGACUG
rnacentral:rRNA from 1 species